CAUUUCUGAUCAGUCUUUUAUUCGGUUUAAAUGCCCUUAAAAGGAAUUGAUUCGAGUCCAUCUUUGAACGAAACUCGCUGUAGUCCAAUAGGCGUGCAUUCGUGCUUCUUUAAGACAGCGACUGCAGGGCCUCUUCCUGUGGUUUGCACCAUGUGGCCUAAAAAGUGUUAAAAGGCGACAACGUCUUUCUCUUCUCGCUGUUGUUUCCGGGAUCAAGCAGGCAGAGAAACUGGUUUCAGCAAAUAGUUGUAAAAUGAACAUUCGGAGCACAUGGAGAUAAGAGGAAGCAUGCAAAGAAACAAUUGGUGCGAGAAGAGGAGAGGCGGGAACAUCAGAGGUACAGUGCAGUCACUCAUAAAGUAGACAGCACUACUAAAGGUCUCUACACAGUGUAGUGUUUCCUACUUUAUGGAUGAGUGUACUGUUGGCUGCGAUGGACGAGCUUAUGGAGAACCAAAGAUGCUCAAUCUGAAUGUCUUGCGAAUAACAUAUUAAUAAAGAUUGUGUUUCAUGACUAAUUGUAAUGCAAUAUUCAAUAUGUGUUGUUGUUGUUGAAUGUAUUUGUCUUUAUAUUUGCAUGUUAACUUGUAUCAAACAACUCUGAAUUCAUAAAAAACGGUAAUAAAACGAAGCUGAACUGAA